rfam:Acidobacteria bacterium RIFCSPLOWO2_12_FTLL_60_22 rifcsplowo2_12_scaffold_5965, whole genome shotgun sequence.
CCCACGGCUCACGCCGUGGGCUAGAAUCUGCCGCCCCUUUCAGGGGCU